AUUGAACGCUGGCGGCAGGCCUAACACAUGCAAGUCGAGCGAGCGGCGGACGGGUGAGUAAUGUAUGGGGACUGCCCGAUAGAGGGGGAUAACUACUGGAAACGGUGGCUAAUACCGCAUACUAUCGGAUAACCCAUAUGGGAUUAGCUAGUAGGUGGGGUAAAGGCUCACCUAGGCGACGAUCUAUAGCUGGUCUGAGAGGAUGAUCAGCCUCACUGGGACUUAGACCCGGCCCAGCCUCCUACGGAGGCAGCAGUGGGGAAUAUUGCACGAUGGGCGCAAGCCUGCUGCAGCCAUGCCGCUUGUAUGAAGAAGGCCUUAGGGUUGUAAAGUUCUUUCAGCGGGGAGGCGUUACCCGCAGAAGAGGCACCGGCUAACUCCGUGCCAGCAGCCGCGGUAAUUC
rnacentral:rRNA from 1 species